ensembl:snRNA U6 U6 spliceosomal RNA
GUGCCUGCAUUGACAGCACAUACACUAAAAUUGGAAUGAUACAGAGAAGAUUAGUAUGGCCCCUGCGCAAGGAUGACACGCAAAUUUGUGAAGUGUUCCAUAUUUUU